UACGUAGGGUGCGAGCGUUGUCCGGAAUUAUUGAGCGUAAAGGGCUCGUAGGCGGUUUGUCACGUCAGGAGUGAAAACUCGGGGCUCAACCCCGAGCCUGCUUCUGAUACGGGCAGACUAGAGGUAUGCAGGGGAGAACGGAAUUCCUGGUGUAGCGGUGAAAUGCGCAGAUAUCAGGAGGAACACCGGUGGCGAAGGCGGUUCUCUGGGCAUUACCUGACGCUGAGGAGCGAAAGUGUGGGGAGCGAACAGG
rnacentral:rRNA from 1 species